CACGAGUGCCCCAAGCGUUAUCCGGAUUUACUGGGCGUAAAGGGUGCGCAGGCGGCUUUGUUAGUCUCUUGUGAAAUCCUCGGGCUCAACCCGAGGCCCGCAAGGGAAACGGCAAAGCUAGAGGACAGGAGAGGUGUGCGGAACUCAUGGUGUAGGGGUGAAAUCCGUUGAUAUCAUGGGGAACACCAAAAGCGAAGGCAGCACACUGGCCUGUUUCUGACGCUCAUGCACGAAAGCGUGGGGAGCGAAUCGG
rnacentral:misc_RNA from 1 species